rnacentral:sRNA from 1 species
UCCUAAACCCGACAGUAGUGGAAAUACUUUUGUUGCAGGUAUUCGACAAGCUCAGACUGACAUUAACAAAAGAUUGCAACGAAUGGCGGGGCUGACU